rnacentral:tRNA from 1 species
GUGAGUGUAGCUCAAUGGUAGAGUAUCGGAUUGUGGAUCCGAACGCUGCGGGUUCAAAUCCCGUCACUCACCCCA